CAAAAAUAAUGUUUUAUUUUUUCAUUCACCAAGCAGUUUUUAGGUUUCAGGCUAUUUUUAACCAAAAUUUGUACAAAGAUGAUUCUCAUCUAUGGUAUAAAGGAUGUAACAGAAUGGUUUGAUAUACUACUGUACUUUAUGAAAUGUCCAUAAAUUGGUUUUCCCAUUCUAUACAAUGCAUCUAAAUUGCAUAUUGAUGUGUUCUUGGAGCAAACCAUAAUGAAAAAAAGUGUAAUAACUGGAGUAAUAACUUGGCAACAUUUUCAUAAGACAUUUCAACAUUUUCUUUCCCUAUUGACUCGUUGUGCCUCCCCAAAAUGCUUGCUUAACAUGCCGUUUGUCCUGGUGUCCUCAACAGAAGACAUGUAUGAAAGUUAUGCCCUGUUUUGUAACAAAAAGUCAUAUUCCGAUUCACAACAUUUUUCUGAGAUUUUUAUUUACAAUAAACAAUUUGAAAAUUAGGCAGAUUUAAAUGAUAAUUACAAAACAUUAUCAGAUUUCCCUAAGAGUGCUAAAUGUGAUCAUUCUGUCAAUAUCAGUCUUAUCUACAGUCCAAGGUGAGGGAGUGUUUAUGAUCAAACCUCCAAACAUCUGAUAUCUCUAAAAUGCGCCCUGAAUGCGCUCUGUACAGACUGUGGCAUGUAUAGUCUCAGAGAAAUUCACUAAAAUAUAAUGUCCUCUACAGAGUACAAAAGUAUAAAGGAGCAUAUUGUGACAUUUUCAAGACCUGGGGGAGGAUGGUGCGCUGCAGGUGUCACGUUGCAGAUUUAGUCCAGUAGGUGGCGAUACUGAAGCAGUUGAUUCUACAAACAAUACUAACAGCAAGAGAAGGAGAAUUUUAAGAUUCCGCGGCGAUGUUUGGUUUUAAAUAAGUAUAAACCGAUUUUAUUUGUAUGCCAAAUACUUGUUAUCCAAGUAGAAAUGCAUUUCAACAAGUAUAAAGAUAAACAUCAUCAAGAGUUGAGUUUGUCGUCUUCUUUUAUUACCGCUCCCAAUGAUAAAACGCUGAUAAUGGCGUCUAAAGAGAAGAAGGAAAACAUAAGAAAGGGCAAACAGACGGCAAAUGUCUACGCAGCGAAGAUAAAGACCAAGAUACACAAUACCUCAUCAUUCUUCAAGCUUUCUUUGAAAUGUAACAACAAGGCUCUGGCUCUGGCUCUGGUUGCUCAGAAGCAGAAGAGCAGAGAGCUGGAGGCAGAGGUGGUGCGACUGAGGAAAGAAGCGCAGACAGCUCAUUUUGAUCUUGCUCAGCAGCGUCAUAAAAACAAACAACUGUUUGCCAUUAUACAAGAGUUUUAUGGUUCUUCCCUUAACUGGAUGACAAAGGCGGUUGAUAUUUUUUGCAAUGAGGAGGAUCAAGACUCCGAACACAACACCAGUGAAGACCAAAUGAUUGAAAUAGAGAAAGAGGUUGGGAGUCUGCAAGACAAACCAUUGUGUCCACAGGAGGAUUAUGAGAGUCCUGAACCAGUGAAUACAGCCGUUGAUGAUCCCAGCCAAGAAAGAGACAGUCCAGCACAGCAAAACACCAUAUAUGACUCUGAAAUGGAGAGGAGAGGCCUCCCUGGGAGACCCUCGAUGGUUACACUGAAGCACUCUCAGAUGAAAGCUCUGCCCAUAGCCCUCAACCAAAGACCCACUGUCAAACUAUGA
ensembl:lncRNA